GACGAACGCUGGCGGCGUGCCUAAUACAUGCAAGUCGAACGACGAGACUUUAACUGAUGCUUGCAUCGACCAAAGGAUCGGAGUGGCGAACGGGUGAGUAACACGUGGGUAACCUGCCUAUCAGAGGGGGAUAACACUUGGAAACAGGUGCUAAUACCGCAUAACAAUCAUAACCGCAUGGUUAUGAUUUGAAAGGCGCUUCUGGUGUCACUGAUAGAUGGACCCGCGGUGCAUUAGCUAGUCGGUGGGGUAACGGCCUACCGAGGCGAUGAUGCAUAGCCGACCUGAGAGGGUGAUCGGCCACACUGGGACUGAGACACGGCCCAGACUCCUACGGGAGGCAGCAGUAGGGAAUCUUCGGCAAUGGACGAAAGUCUGACCGAGCAACGCCGCGUGAGUGAAGAAGGUUUUCGGAUCGUAAAACUCUGUUGUUAGAGAAGAACAAGGACGUUAGUAACUGAACGUCCCCUGACGGUAUCUAACCAGAAAGCCACGGCUAACUACGUGCCAGCCGCCGCCGUAA
rnacentral:rRNA from 1 species